GCGUCGGUGGUUCAGUGGUAGAAUACUCGCCUGCCACGCGGGUGGCCCGGGUUCGAUUCCCGGCCGACGUA
rnacentral:tRNA from 2 species